AUCGAACGCUGGCGGCAGGCUUAACACAUGCAAGUCGAGCGGAAGGACGCUGCUUGCUCCUGGAGCUAGCGGCGCACGGGUGUGAAUAGCCCAUGAAUAUCCUGCGUAGUGCGGGAUAACGUCCGCAAACGGGUGCUAAUACCACAUACGACCAGAGCGAGAUAGAGGGGGAGGGUUGGACAUUAUGCUCUCAGGUGAGUCUAGGUCGGAUUUGCCAGCUGGUUGGGUAAAGGCUGACCAAGGCGACGUUCCGUAACUGGUCUGAGAGGAUGAGCAGUCACACUGGAACUGAGACACGGUCCAGACUCCUACGGGAGGCAGCAGUGGGGAAUAUUGGACAAUGGGCGAGAGCCUGAUCCAGCCAUGCCGCGUGUGUGACGAAGGUCUUCGGAUUGUAAAGCACUUUAAGUUGGGAGGAAGGGCAGUAAGUUAAUACCUUGCUGUUUUGACGUUACCAACAGAAUAAGCACCGGCUAACUUCGUG
rnacentral:rRNA from 1 species